GUAGUGUGCGAGCGUUAAUCGGAAUUACUGGGCGUAAAGCGUGCGCAGGCGGUUUUGUAAGACAGGCGUGAAAUCCCCGGGCUCAACCUGGGAACUGCGCUUGUGACUGCAAGGCUAGAGUACGGCAGAGGGGGUGGAAUUCCACGUGUAGCAGUGAAAUGCGUAGAGAUGUGGAGGAACACCAAUGGCGAAGGCAGCCCCCUGGGUCGAUACUGACGCUCAUGCACGAAAGCGUGGGUAGCAAACAGGAUUAGAUACCCUGGUAGUCCACGCCCUAAACGAUGUCAACUAGGUGUUGGGUGGGUAAAACCAUUUAGUACCGGAGCUAACGCGUGAAGUUGACCGCCUGGGGAGUACGGCCGCAAGGUUA
rnacentral:rRNA from 1 species